rnacentral:misc_RNA from 1 species
UGGUUCUGGCAUCGAUGAAGAACGCAGCGAAAUGCGAUAAGUAAUGUGAAUUGCAGAAUUCAGUGAAUCAUCGAAUCUUUGAACGCACAUUGCGCCCUGUGGUAUUCCGCAGGGCAUGCCUGUUCGAGCGUCAGUACAACACUCAAGCCUAGCUUGGUCUUGGGCCUCGCCGGAAACGGCGGGCCUUAAAAGUAGUGGCGGCGCCCGCUGGGCUCUAAGCGUAGUAAUACUCCUCGCUAUAGGGACCCGGUGGAUGCUGGCCAGCAACCCCCAACUUUCUAAGUUUGACCUCGGAUCAGGUAGGGAUACCCGCUGA